rnacentral:lncRNA from 1 species
AGGAUAAAAUGGUUUGUAGUGAUAAUAAAUUAGUAUAAAUAGUCUUAUCCCACCCAUCAUUUUUUUGUAAACAAGUGUAGCCAAUGUGCUGCAGCAGCUAGCCGCCUAUAUAUAUACAAGUCGAGUUCAUAAACCUUGGUUUAAGCUUUUACAUCAUAGAGACAUAGUUCUGUCGUUGAGAGAGAAAGAGAUGGCUUUAAGCUGGCUUCUUCAUUCUGCAUACACUAUUGUUUUAGGAAACCCAAAAACGCAAGGCGACAAGAGUUUGGGGUACCCUAAUAAAGAUGUAAAAGAAGUUGCCAAAAGUUUAAAAAUUGAACCUGAAUAUCCUUUCCAAAUGCCUCUUCAUUAUCCUCGUUACACCAAGGCCGACUACCAGAAAAUGGAGGAGUGGAGGGUGGACUUGCUUCUGCAGCAAUAUGGCCUCAACUUUGAAGGUAUGCUUGACGAGAAGAGGGCGUAUGCCAUGGGUGCGUUCCUGUGGCCUGAUCAACUUUGAACUGCCUUUCAAAUUCCUGCUUGUACCACAACUUUACGCAGCUUCUGUUUCUCAAGAGCCAUAGUGUGUAUCUGGUUCUGUAUCGUUUCUACCAUUAUACAAGUAGCUAAGCCUAUCGCAAUGAAGCUUCUAUAGCCUUAUGUAUGAGUUGAAUAUAUAUUGCUACGUAGAAAUUAUUGUUCCCUCUAGUUGUAAGUGUUGUUUACCCUUUAAUCAUGCAUUUUCUUGUCUGUAACUCCUAGCAUUGAAAGAAACUUGGACUGUUGGUGCCUAUUUGGCAGAGCGGCAUGCUGAGACAAAGAACUUUUACUAGUAGAGAUGUAAGAAAAAGUGCCCUUAAUGUGAAAGUCCAUAGUGUGUGAUGAUCAAUUUUAAAAAGGAAUAUUGAAGAAAUAUAGCAGUUCACAACAUCAUUGUGCAACAUUAUGUUCCACUAUCCCUUAAGUCCAUACAGUACUUUCGAAUGUACCUGAAACAUUUCGUAGAACAGCAAAGCAAAAUUUGGGUCGGAAAAAUUCAUAUUUGUUGCCAACCUUUCAGUUAUAAUAUUUUCACAACAUUUCUAUUCGGCAAUCCGUAUAUAGAUGACAGCCUUAGCUCCCACAAUUACUUUCAAAUACAUGAUAAACAACACAUAAGUAGCACGAAGCAAUGUAUACACCCUCAGUAACAAAAUUAGAGAUCCAAUUAUAAACGGACGACUUUUAAGAAAAAAAUUAUUUUUAUAAACUAAUCUCACAUUUGCUAGAAAUGUAGUAGUGGUGACAUGAUAGUAUUCAAUCAAGCUAGGAAUAAGUAAUGACAUAUUAGGAAGUUCAUGACUCUUUAUAGUCUAAAUUUAGAAAUGUAUAUCUAAUUUUGGAGCGUAUCUCUAAUUUUGCAACGGAGAGAGUAUUAUUUUAGUUAUUGUUUAAAAAUUUAAACCUUAGGUGCUCAGGUUUAUCAACAUAAAUUAAUUUCAAAUGCCAACUUUAGCAUAAGCAUAUAGGUAAAAGUAAAAUUGAAAUCUCCAAACUCUUCCGGUAUAAGGAAUAACAGUGAUAGUAAAAUACUCUGUGAAUCCAAAAAAGAUCAUCCUUAUUGGAAUUAUGAAAAGAAACGUCUUCUUUAUUUUUUAAUUUUUUUUAAAAUAUUAAGACAGAGGGAGUAUAACAAGAUCUGAAAAGACCAAGGGGAUUCUUAUUUGUACAAAUGGUACUUCGAUGGACGGUAAUUGGAGUCGGCAGCUCUCCUAGGGUUAGAAGAACCACACAAGCGCCCCCAGUGUAUUAACUUUAGUUCUGAUAAGUAUUUUAUUAGUAUGGUUAAAAAGAGCAAGCCAUUUCAAGUUAUUAUGCAUUGCCACUGCGCAAGAAAGAUAACAAUCUUCUAAGCAUGUUAUUCUUUAAAAGAAGCAGCAAAUAUCAGUCACCAGACACUAUUUUAUAAAACGAGAGAAUGGAACCAAAACAUAGUGUUGCAAAAAAAAGGUAAGGGUCCAAUCCAAGUGCACUGCUAAUGAAAGAAAAUCAUCGACAGUUUAAUGCAAAGGGUCCCGCAAUUCAAGAAACAAAAUACACGAUUGAUCAUAAUUCAAUGACAAUUAAUUAAAUGUCAGUUUAUCAUUUUGGCUUAUAUGACAGACACACUGACCUUACCACUAGGUUGUCAAAUAUGUGGUUACAAACUUGCAUCUUUUCUUUGUCAUAAAUCAGACUUCAUAUAUCUUCAUCAUAAAUGAAUUAUCCAACUCUUACCUGCACCAAAAAGAGCUUUUAUGCUGGAGAGACCUAGAAGGUCCACUGGGUGGAUGGUUGAUGAUAAGCCUCGGUGCUUCAGAAAGCCAGUUCAAUUUGCCUGCAAUGGAGACGAUAUAGUGAGUGUCAAAGUCAGUUAUUUUUGUACUGUUUCACAGUUACCAACUAAAAGCAAUCCGUCUAUGAGAGAAGGUAAGAUGAAAUGGAAUGAAAAGAUAGUUGAUAUUUGUUACUCCCUUUGUCUCAGAAUGAUAGUCAUGGUUCAAACCAUAAUUGUGACAUGGAUUUUAAGGCACAAAGAACACAUGCAGGGAUAAUAAUUUGUAAAAUUGCCUUUCUAUAUUAAUUUUUAGCAUCUAAAGUGAAAUUUUAAGCAAGGAAAUAGGUAAAAUAUUAUAUCUAAAUGUGUCAAUAUCAAGUCUUAAAAUCUGUUCCACCAAUAUAACUUUGAAUCAAGACACUAAAGACUGAGGGAGGGCCUUUUACUUGUAGAAAUGAUGAACACAAAUGUGAAUACAGGUAAUCCAACUUGGGGCUUUUGAAUUUAGCAGAGCCUUGAGGCCAUUGACAACUAUUCAUCCUGCUGAAUAAAAAUAUUGAAGGUUCAUUUCCCUGCAGACUCUUGCGCCCGAGUUUCCCAGCUCAGUUAUGGAAUUGACCUAACGCAGACUAAAUGAACUAAAGUCUAAGAAUGACAAAAGAAAAAGUAUAGAUGCUACAAAUCAAGGACAUAAUAGGCGUGAUAAAGUUUCCAAGCAAAUAAUUCAGUUUCACUCAGCACCUUGUUGCUGAAAGCGUAAAUAAAAACAACCAAUAGAUUCAAUUUUAACAACUGUAACCUUUGACCAUAUCAUGAAGAAGAUGACUGCUAGUGCAAGAUCUUUGAACAUGCCUAUUUGCUGCACGCAAGGUUUUAGAAAAGCACCCCAUCUCUGGUCCUGCUGUGUAAUAAUGUAUCUCGGCUGUAAAGAUUUACGCACUUGAACUUUGAACUCUUUUGCCAAGGACUGUACAAGUUAAUACUAAGAUUUCCAAUGAACAUGUAAACAAUCUAAUUCAAAUCUCUAGAUGGCUUCUACCUCUGACUUUAGAUGUUUAGUCACAAAAAAUCCUGUCAAUAAUUUCCCAAAUUCACCAACCAAUGCCAUAGUAAGUGAGCAGCACAUACUACAGUUUUCCACACCAUUUGAGAUAAUUGGAAGUAAACAACCUCGUUCAUCACCUCAGAUCCAGUAGAAGUACA